rnacentral:rRNA from 1 species
UGCCCAACAGCUAGCCACCACCCCCAAAAACAACAAACCCCCAUCAAUAACCCCUCACACACGACACACAAGUGAAACAAAUCAUUUUUCCCCCCUAGUAUGGGCGACAGAAAAGGAUCCCGAUUGAGCAAUAGAGAAAGUACCGCAAGGGAACGCUGAAAGAGAAGUGAAAUAACCCAUUAAAGCAUAGAAAAGCAGAGAUUUAAACUCGUACCUUUUGCAUCAUGAUUUAGCUAGAAAGCCCCGAGCGAAGAGAACUUUAGUUUGCUUUCCCGAAACUAAGUGAGCUACUCCAAGACAGCCUAUCAAUAGGGCCAACCCGUCUCUGUGGCAAAAGAGUGGGAAGAGCUUUGAGUAGAGGUGACAGACCUACCGAACUUAGUUAUAGCUGGUUGCCUGAGAAAUGAAUAGAAGUUCAGCCUCCCGGCUUCUUUCCUGACCCCUGUCCUAACCCCUAGAGACACCCAAAGAAACCGAGAGAGUUAUUCAAAGGGGGUACAGCCCCUUUGAAAUAAGAUACAACUUUAUCAGGAGGAUUAAGAUCAUAUUAAAAUAAAGGCAAAAUGUUCUGGUGGGCCUAAAAGCAGCCAUCCUUACAGAAAGCGUUAAAGCUCAGAUAUACUAAAUAACCCUCCCUAUCCUGAUAACCAAAUCUUACUCCCCUAACCCUACCGGGCCGCCCCAUGCAAACAUGGGAGCGACCAUGCUAAUAUGAGUAAUAAGAGAGCUUAAGCCUCUCUCCUUGCACGAGUGUAAAUCAAAACGGACCUCCCAUCGAAUCUUAACGGCCCCAACCAAAGAGGGACAUGGACAACAAACCAAACAACCAGAAAACCAUCCAACUAAAGACCGUUAACCCCACACUGGUGUGCCCCCAAGGAAAGACUAAAAGAAAAAGAAGGAACUCGGCAAACACAUGAAGCCUCGCCUGUUUACCAAAAACAUCGCCUCUUGCAAAGUAAUGAAUAAGAGGUCCCGCCUGCCCUGUGACUCUAAGUUUAACGGCCGCGGUAUUUUGACCGUGCGAAGGUAGCGCAAUCACUUGUCUUUUAAAUGGAGACCUGUAUGAAUGGCAUAACGAGGGCUUAGCUGUCUCCUUUCUCUAGUCAAUGAAAUUGAUCUCCCCGUGCAGAAGCGGGGAUAGAACCAUAAGACGAGAAGACCCUAUGGAGCUUUAGACGCCAAGACAGACCAUGUUAAACACCUCCCCAUAAGGAGCCCAAACCAAAUGGUCCCUGCCCUAGUGUCUUUGGUUGGGGCGACCGCGGGGAAACAUAAAACCCCCAUGUGGAAUGGGAGCACCCUCUCCUACAACUAAGAGCUACAGCUCUAAUGAACAGAAUUUCUGACCAACAAGAUCCGGCAAUGCCGAUCAACGGACCGAGUUACCCUAGGGAUAACAGCGCAAUCCCCUUUUAGAGCCCAUAUCGACAAGGGGGUUUACGACCUCGAUGUUGGAUCAGGACAUCCUAAUGGUGCAGCCGCUAUUAAGGGUUCGUUUGUUCAACGAUUAAAGUCCUACGUGAUCUGAGUUCAGACCGGAGUAAUCCAGGUCAGUUUCUAUCUAUGAUAUGCUCUUUCCUAGUACGAAAGGACCGGAAAGAAGAAGCCCAUGCUAUAAGUAUGCUUCACCCUCACCUAAUGUAGAUAACUAAAAUAGGCAAAAGGGCAUGCCCCCUAUGCCUGAGAAAAUGGCAU